CCUACGGGUGGCUGCAGUGGGGAAUAUUGGACAAUGGGCGAAAGCCUGAUCCAGCCAUGCCGCGUGUGUGAAGAAGGCCUUCGGGUUGUAAAGCACUUUCAGUGGGGAAGAAAGCCUUGGGGCUAAUACCCUCGAGGAAGGACAUCACCCACAAAAGAAGCACCGGCUAACUCCGUGCCAGCAGCCGCGGUAAUACGGAGGGUGCGAGCGUUAAUCGGAAUUACUGGGCGUAAAGCACGCGUAGGCGGUCUGAUAAGCCGGUUGUGAAAGCCCCGGGCUCAACCUGGGAACGGCAUCCGGAACUGUCAGGCUAGAGUGCAGGAGAGGAAGGUAGAAUUCCCGGUGUAGCGGUGAAAUGCGUAGAGAUCGGGAGGAAUACCAGUGGCGAAGGCGGCCUUCUGGACUGACACUGACGCUGAGGUGCGAAAGCGUGGGUAGCAAACAGGAUUAGAUACCCUGGUAGUC
rnacentral:rRNA from 1 species